UGCCCCUUGGCCCAGUUGGUGAAGGCGCACGACUGUUAGCAUUGCUUCAUCGUGAGAUCGCAAGUUCGAACCUUGCAGGGGCAG